UCCUCUGUAGUUUCAGUCGGUAGAACGGCGGACUGUUAAUCCAUAUAUGUCACUGGUUCGAGGUCAGUCAGAGGAGCCA
rnacentral:tRNA from 1 species